UGCUUCUGCAUAACAGGAGACGUGGGAAGCCCAGCAGAACCUGGGCCCCACACUCAUAAGACUGUGAAGGAGACAGGGAUGGAGGGCAUUGCUGGGAAAAGGCAGGCAGGCACCAGUGGAAACAAGGCAUACGGCAAGAGAAAAAGAGUGUGUGGGAGCUGUACGGCAUGCCGGGCCUGCUGGGGACACAACCAUGUAUUCCUUACAACACAGACAUCAUCCCCAUUUGACAGAUGGGAAGAUUGGGGCUUGGGGCUCAGAGACAUCGGGUGACUUGGAGGAAGGGAGACCCCCCAGUCAACAACCUACCCACUGCCUCCUGGCCCCCAAUUCAUGCCCCGGCUCACUUGGCCCUGUCAGCUCCAGGAGCUUGCUCAGCUGGGUCCAUCCUGUGGACAAGCCCGAGCGGCAGCGGUAGCGGCCCUGGGUGUCACCCGUCAGCAGGAACUGGUGCUUGAUGGCAGGGACCCAGACCCCAGGAGGCCUCACCCCACAGCAAGAGAAAGACCACGAGCAUGGACAUGAUGGUCGCGCUCACUCCGGUGCAGUGAGUGUCUGGGUGAUGGAUCCUAGAACCUGUUCUAGAAGGAGACGCUGAGUUCUCCCCACUCUACCUGGAGCUGCUGAGGUCAAGUGGAGAGUGCCGGGGCUGAAGCCCAGCGAGCCCCUCCCUGUCACACCACACUGCACAUGUGACACCAAAGGUGGGGUUCACCUCUUUUCAGACUUUCUGCGGUUGCCCUCACAUGGGCUGUCUGGAGGUGCACCCUCACUCUUCCUGAGGACUGUGGUUCCUUCUCCAUCACUGGUUCAUUCUGCAUGGUGUGACCCACCACGGCUCUGGAGUCGGAUUUCCACCCAGGUCAUUCAGCUGAGACCUGCGCUUCCCAGGCCUACCCGUGACAUGUGCUCAGUUACCUGAGCUGCUGGUGGUCACUCAUGUGGCUAUAGCCUGCUGCCUGGAGGCCAGGCCUCCCGCUUCCCCUGCCUCCCCCUCUCCUCACCACAGCCUGUUGGGAUGGAACAGGACAGGGGUGAGACCGUGGUGCUUUCACACUCAGCCUCCAUGGACAUCCUGUCAUUCCCACCCGGGGAGGUCUGGUCCCCACCCUGGGUGUCCCAGCCUAGCUCCGCUACGAGUGUGAGGGCCCAGGGCAACCGCCUAGCCCUCAUCUGCCCCCUGCACUGCAUCCUCCCCACUCAUUCAUUCCACAGGCAUUUAUUGAGCAUCUACUGUGUGCCAGAUGCAAAGAAGACAGUGGGAUAACUGGGCAAGGAGCAUUCCAGGCAGAGGGAACAGCCAG
rnacentral:lncRNA from 1 species